rnacentral:rRNA from 1 species
AUUGAACGCUGGCGGCAUGCCUUACACAUGCAAGUCGAACGGUAACGCGGGGCAACCUGGCGACGAGUGGCGAACGGGUGAGUAAUGCAUCGGAACGUGCCCAGUAGUGGGGGAUAGCCCGGCGAAAGCCGGAUUAAUACCGCAUACGACCUACGGGUGAAAGCGGGGGACCGUAAGGCCUCGCGCUAUUGGAGCGGCCGAUGUCAGAUUAGGUAGUUGGUGGGGUAAAGGCCUACCAAGCCUUCGAUCUGUAGCUGGUCUGAGAGGACGACCAGCCACACUGGGACUGAGACACGGCCCAGACUCCUACGGGAGGCAGCAGUGGGGAAUAUUGGACAAUGGGCGCAAGCCUGAUCCAGCAAUGCCGCGUGUGUGAAGAAGGCCUGCGGGUUGUAAAGCACUUUCAGUGGGAGGAAAGACUGGUGGCUAAUAUCCAUCGGCCGUGACGCUACCCACAGAAGAAGCACCGGCUAAUUCCGUGCCAGCAGCCGAC